GAAGGAGAUGAGAAAUGUUCUGUCUCUGAAACAAUCUGAAGGAAAGCUGGGGAGAUGAAAGGGAAGAAGAGCAGACCAGUUACUCCCAGGCUGAGCUGGAAGCCUGAUGAGAGGCAGGUGCUGUGAUGAGUCUGUCUGCACUGCUAGGUUGAAAUGGCAGACAGCGGGAGUGGUGCUAAUCUCCAGCAGGCACUGUGAACAUCACCCCCCAGAACCACCCAACUCCAGUUGUCAGCAGUCAGAAAUGGUAGUUCCCCAGGUCCAUAAGCCUGCCUUAGCAGCUGGCAGGAGCAGCAAUACACCCCCAGACCCAAUCCAGAAACAGAGAAAUUGAUCUCUGUUAAAAUGCCAGUGUUCAUCCCAGCUACUUGUGCUGUGCACUGGGUUAAGAAGUUAGAUCUUAAUGCGGGGCCUGAGUGCUGCACAGAGGCUACUGCAUUGAAACGAAUAGUUCCCUAAGUGCCUUCUUCACAAACGAAGAAAAUACAUUUGCUGGACAUUGCGCCUGGUCACAUUUGACAGAACUUGGUUUCCAUUCUCUCUUCACCAAAAGGGUUCUAGUUUAAUUACAGCAUCUGAAGGGACUGUGGCAUUUUCCUCAUCAUGUCCCCACUUCUGUUUGCUAUUGCAUUGGCACUCUUGUUAGUGGCACUUAAGACUGACCUAGACAUAGGACACAAAAAAGGUCUGCUGCACACAGUCACUGUUUUAUUGCUGUUCUAGCACCUUCAACAAUCUGCUGCACGAGCUUUAGGCUGACUUUGCAUUUUUUGGCCUUGAUCUCUGGCUUUAAAGGUAAUUAAGAUAAUUCAGAGUUCACACCCAUCUCCCUGAGGGAUUUGUUUAAAAUACAUGUAAUGCGAGUUUUAAGGCUUUCU